UUGUACUCCAUGAUAUAUGCUUGUUUUAACCUAGCUAUCAGAUCCACAAGUAAACAUACUAAUCAGCAAAAUACCUUUCUUUGAACACAAUUAAAGACUACAAAAAUCAGUUUCCUAAAAAUAUGAUAUGAAAAGAUAGCAGUAAAAGCAACCAUAUAAAACGUUAAGAUAAGUUAUCUGAACAUUGUUUAGCAUCUUUUGAGUCUUACUUUUG
rnacentral:misc_RNA from 1 species